CAUUCUCUGCCUAACUCUCCAGGCAGCUACUACCAAUCAAUUAAAGUUGGCAUGUGAGAGGAUAUCUAUUCAACAUCAUUGAACCAAGUAGACCCUACCAAUUUGUAUCACCAGCCCCCAAGGAUAAAGUCUGACACACAGACAUCCAAGACUAUGGAAUAAAUGAGUGAAUUCUGAGGGAAGCAGACAAGUGGUUCUAUCUUCAUAGAGUUGUUACGGUUACUGGCAUUGAGUCAAGGAAAACCAGCCACAAAUGAUGAAACCAGGGAUUAGGGUCCAACUCAAAGGCUUCCAUGUGAGAGCUAGAACCUUCACAAAGGCAAUAAAGAAAUUAUAAAUGAAUUGAAUAAACCAGCUGACUCCAUGAGGAGCCAAUGCAUUUUCUAAGUGAAAACAGACACUCCAGCAGCCUGUAAGGAAACGUGUUUAUCUUGAAUGCACCUGGCAGAGACGACAUGGAUGGGGCUGAGCUGGUGGAAAGACCCCAUUUCUCAAACCCAGCUUUCUACGUGAAAUUAUUCAAAAGGAAACCUUAUCAAGCAGCCUUCCAGCCCAGUGUCAUCCAUCUUCCAGAGGAAUCUGGGCAUGGCUUCAAUGGAUCCUCUGCCUCAGAAUAUCCCACAAGACAACAAUUGAGGGAUCAGCGGGGGCUGUCAUCUCAUCUGAAGUCUCAACUAGGGAAGGAGCUGCUUCCAAGCUCAUUCAAGUGAUCGAUGGCAGAAUUUGGUUCCUCAUGGGCUGUUGGACUGAAGACUUUAGUUUAUCACAGUAUGCUGGCUGCAGUCCCCACUCAGUUCCUUGCCAUAAGGGCCUCUCCAUAGAGCAGCUUGGCAACAGAGCAGCUGGCUUCAUCAGAAGGAAUAAACUGAGCCUUGGUCCUAGAAGAUAGUGACUUGUCCGGGAGCAACCUAAAGAGCAGAGGCCACUGACAAUGAUCUCACCACUCUCAGAAGCAUAAGAAUGAGCCAUGGAUUCACAGUGGUGUAGCCUGAGGAGGUGAUUUGACGGAAGACAGCAGAAAUCUCAUCACUGACCCAGGAGGUGAAGGAAAUACCCAGUGUGACUCGAUGGAGCCCAAAGACUUUCCUCCCCAGCUCUUCUCCCUCCGCCUCAGCAAUUUCAAGGUCCAGGACCCUGGCCAGCAUGAGAGGAGAGAGUGGAAACUAAGACAUAAAUCAAACUUACAUCAGGAAUACAGUCACCUAUCACCAGGACCUCAGGAUGCCUGGUCAUCCCUCCAAGAACCAUGAGCACUGUUAGAGAAAAGUCACAAAAACAAUUCAACAUUAUUCCAAUUCUUGCUUGCCAUCCUGCAUUUCUUGGCCUGGAGAUUCCCUUACCCUCAAAGUCAAUGCUUCUGGAGUAAGCAGAGCAGUACCAAAUGGCUAAGGGCCCCUCUUGGAGGCUGGACCUAUAUCACAACAGUAUAUGCAUGUGAUACCUCCUAGUAUGGUGCUUAGGAGUCAGGCAGAUCUGGUUCUAACACAAACUCUGCCACCAACCAGCUGUGUGCCCUUGGUCCAGUAAGUUAACUUCUGUUUCUCCAUUUCCCCUUUGGAAUUUUAACAAUAUCAAAAUACUACCUAUUAUAUUAUACAACAAAAUAAAAUAAUGCACUUUAAA